AGCAACAGCUGGAGAUCCACAGUUUGGAGACCACUGAUACAGGGAGAGAUGCAUCACCUGCUCUGCUGAGACCUGCCCCGAGGACUAAUCACCCGCUGUUUGGGCAACAUAAAAUUGAUAACAGGCAGCACUGCACUUCUUUCUGGGUCAGGCAUGUACUGGUGUCCCCCUGUCAGGUCUGUUGGUUAAUAUUAAGUCCAGUAGGGUGCCCCCUCUGCUCGGGUCUGGCACCAUUUGGGACAGGGACUAGAACAUGCACAAAAGUCAAGCCCUGCGCUAUAUCAUUGUUCAAUGGCUGUCCAUAAAUCAAGACACACAGACGUCUUUUCAUUUAUUUCAUUUUAUUUUGAAAAAUGUAAACAAA